GGAUGUGAGGGCAAUCUGGCUGGGACAUCUGUCACCCCAUGGAUCUCCAGGGUUGAUUCGGCUGAUCUGGCUGACUAGGCUGGUGUCCCCUUCCUCCCUCACCACUCCUUGUGUGUCCGUCCUGAAGCUGCACACUCUGUUGAAGAGGACGACCAUCCCAGAGAGAGGAGGACCAGUCUUUGUUCAAGGGUAUGUGAGUAGCUACACUCCCCUACUAGAACCUCCAAACAAGCUCUCAAUUAUAAACAAACAGCACCAAAACAUUUAGCAACAGUCUCUUUGUU
rnacentral:snRNA from 2 species